rnacentral:lncRNA from 1 species
ACCACCGGCGUGCCGGCCGAGCUGGUGCUCAGCGCCGUCUCGGAGCUCGCUUCCGCCAUGGGGCCGAAGGGGCUGGUGGCGGGCCAGAUCAUGGACAUCGAGAGCGAGGGACAGGCCGUGGGCCUCGACGUGCUCGAGUUCAUCCACCUGCACAAGACGGGGAGGCUGCUGGAGGCGGCGGCGGCGUGCGGGGCGAUCGUGGGCGGCGGCAGCGACGCCGAGGUGGACCGCGUCCGCCGGUACGCACGCUGCGUGGGCCUGCUGUUCCAGGUGGUGGACGACAUCCUGGACGUGACGAAGACGUCGGAGGAGCUGGG